rnacentral:rRNA from 1 species
UACGAAGGGGGCUAGCGUUGCUCGGAAUUACUGGGCGUAAAGCGCACGUAGGCGGUCUUUUAAGUCGGGGGUGGAAUCCUGGAGCUCAACUCCAGAACUGCCUUCGAUACUGGAAGACUUGAGUCCGGGAGAGGUGAGUGGAACUGCGAGUGUAGAGGUGAAAUUCGUAGAUAUUCGCAAGAACACCAGUGGCGAAGGCGGCUCACUGGCCCGGUACUGACGCUGAGGUGCGAAAGCGUGGGGAGCAAACAGG